AUUGAACGCUGGCGGCAGGCCUAACACAUGCAAGUCGAACGAGUGGCGGACGGGUGAGUAAUGUCUGGGAAACUGCCUGAUGGAGGGGGAUAACUACUGGAAACGGUAGCUAAUACCGCAUAACCUCGGAUGUGCCGAGAUGGGAUUAGCUAGUAGGUGGGGUAAAGGCUCACCUAGGCGACGAUCCCUAGCUGGUCUGCGAGGAGGACCAGAAUCACUGGAACUGAGACACGGUCCAGACGCCUACGGGAGGCAGCAGUAGGGAAUAUUGCACAAUGGGCGCAAGCCUGAUGCAGCCAUGCCGCGUGUAUGAAGAAGGCUUUCGGGUUUUAAAGUACUUUCAGAGGGGAGGCGUUACCCGCAGAAGAAGCACCGGCUAACUCCGUGCCAGCAGCCGCGGUAAUAC
rnacentral:rRNA from 1 species